rnacentral:lncRNA from 1 species
CUGGGGGAGAUAUCACAUGUCGGCAGGUUCUGUGAUGCCCCCUGAGCCGUAAAACCAGCAAGUUUUUAUUAGUGAUUUUCAAAGAAGGAAGGAGUGUACAAAUAAGGUGUAGGUCACAGAGAUCACAUGCUUCACAAAGUAAUAAAAUACCACAAGGCAAAUGGAGGCAGGGUGAGAUCACAAGACCACAGGACCAAGGCAAAAUUAAAAUUGCUAAUGAAGUUUCAGGCACGCAUUGUCAUUGAUAACAUCUUAUCAGGAGACAAGGUUUGAGAGCAGACAACCAGUCUGACUAAAAUUUAUUAGGCAGGAAUUUCCUCGUCCUAAUAAGCCUAGGAGUGCUACAGGAGACGGAAGCUUAUUUCAUCCCUUAGCUAUGACUGUAAAAGACAGCCGUUCCCAAAGCGGCCAUUUCAGAGGCCUCCCCUUAAGGACACAUUCUCUUUCUCAAGGAUGUUCCUUGCUGAGAAAAAGAAUUUAGUGAUAUUUCUCCUAUUUGCUUUUGAAAGAAGAGAAAUAUGGCUCUGUUCCACCUGGCUCACAGGCAGCGAGAUUUUAAGGUUAUCUCCCUUGUUCUCUGAACAUUGCUGUUUUCUUGUUCUUUUUUCAAGGUGCCCAGAUUUCAUAUUGUUCAAACACACAUGCUCUACAUACAAUUUGUGCAGUUAAUGCAAUCAUCACAAGGUCCUAGGCCGACCUACAGCCUCAGCUUACGAAGAUGACAAGAUUAAGAGAUUAAAGUAAAGACAGGCAUAAGAAAUCAAAAGAGUAUUGAUUAAGGAAGUGAGAGUGUGAAGAGGAGGAGAAAGGCUGAAGAGGAGGAGAAAGGCUAAGAUCUUUUCCAAUGCAAAAUUAGGAAAAAAUAUACUACAGGUAAGUCACAAAAAACAAAUAUUUUGAAGUUUUCUUCAUUCAUGAGGUUACAACUGUGGUGCAACUUAUUGUGCCUGUCAUUAUUUUUCUCAUAGUAGGAGGAUAAGCCAGGGAGCGGUAAACUAGAGCUGGCCUUGCCAAUGGAAACUAACCUCGUAGAGUUAGCAGGACCUUUCUAAGCAUCAUUUUGCAAUCUCUGUGUGGCCUUUGCAAGGUAGUGUCCUCUCCAUGCCUCACUGCCUACAUCUAGAGUCUUGAUAUUACCAUACCUUUACUUCAUUCAAAUGAGAGAAAUAAAUGUAACUCUGCAUUUAUCCUCAGUAUUAUCAGUCACUCAAUAAACAGACUUUGGGUAUGAAGGACAUUUUAAUCAUAUGUACCAGCACACAAAUUGUAAUUUAGAGAUGAAAACAAGUAUUUUAUAAUUUAUCAAUCUCUGUUGUGGUAAGUCACACUAACUAGCUGUGUCAUAAAAAGCAGUGGCACAAAGUCAUCCCAAGUGACUCAGCAAAAUUUUUCUAACCUCUGCAUAUAUAUUUUAUAAUUAUGCCUCAUUUAAUCCCCCCCUUUUCUAUUCAAAGCAGAAUUGAUCAUCAGGAAAAUAAAUUUCUAGAAUUAGGCCUUUAGUUAUUAACCCCACAGUAGAUUCAUAUAUUAUGAGAUGGUUAAUACAUGUUGUUCUUGAAGGCUAGUAGAUUCCUCCUAAUUCUAUAAUGAUCAGAUUUAAAAAUAUUUUCCUCUUAUAAAUCUCUAUUUUCAGACAGUAGUGCAAAUCUU